GACGAACGCUGGCGGCGUGCUUAACACAUGCAAGUCGAGCGGUAAGGCCCCUUCGGGGGUACGACGAGCGGCGAACGGGUGAGUAACACGUGGGUGACCUGCCCUCAGCUCUGGGAUAAGCCUGGGAAACUGGGUCUAAUACCGGAUAUGACUCCAUGAUGCAUGUUGUGGGGUGGAAAGCCUUGUGCGGCUGAGGAUGGGCCCGCGGCCUAUCAGCUUGUUGGUGGGGGAUGGCCUACCAAGGCGACGACGGGUAGCCGGCCUGAGAGGGCGACCGGCCACACUGGGACUGAGACACGGCCCAGACUCCUACGGGAGGCAGCAGUGGGGAAUCUUGCGCAAUGGGCGAAAGCCUGACGCAGCGACGCCGCGUGAGGGAUGACGGCCUGGUGUAACGU
rnacentral:rRNA from 1 species